UCACAGAUGUGACUGUGGAAAGGGU
rnacentral:piRNA from 1 species